rnacentral:rRNA from 1 species
CCGCGGUAAUACGGAGGAUCCGAGCGUUAUCCGGAUUUAUUGGGUUUAAAGGGUGCGUAGGCGGCUUGUUAAGUCAGGGGUGAAAGACGGUGGCUCAACCAUCGCAGUGCCCUUGAUACUGGCGAGCUUGAAUGUACUUGAGGUAGGCGGAAUGUGACAAGUAGCGGUGAAAUGCAUAGAUAUGUCACAGAACACCGAUUGCGAAGGCAGCUUACUAAAGUGUAAAUGACGCUGAGGCACGAAAGCGUGGGGAUCAAACAGG